rnacentral:rRNA from 1 species
UUGCCCUAGUAACGGCGAGUGAAGCGGCAACAGCUCAAAUUUGAAAUCUGGCGCAAGCCCGAGUUGUAAUUUGUAGAGGAUGCUUCUGGGUAGCGGCCGGUCUAAGUUCCUUGGAACAGGACGUCAUAGAGGGUGAGAAUCCCGUAUGUGACUGGCUUGCACCCUCCACGUAGCUCCUUCGACGAGUCGAGUUGUUUGGGAAUGCAGCUCUAAAUGGGAGGUAAAUUUCUUCUAAAGCUAAAUACCGGCCAGAGACCGAUAGCGCACAAGUAGAGUGAUCGAAAGAUGAAAAGCACUUUGGAAAGAGAGUUAAAAAGCACGUGAAAUUGUUGAAAGGGAAGCGCCCGCAACCAGACUUUGCGGAGUGUUCCGCCGGUCUUCUGACGGUCUACUCGCUGUCGUGAGGCAUCAUCGUCUGGGACCGCUGGAUAGACCUUAGGAAUGUAGCUCCCUUCGGGGAGUGUUAUAGCCUCUGGUGAUGCAGCGCGUCUCGGGCGAGGUCCGCGCUUCGGCAAGGAUGAUGGCGUAAUGGUUGUCGGCGCCCGUCUUGAACACGGACCAAGGAGUCUAACACUAUGCGAGUGUUCGGGUGUCAAACCCCUACGCGUAAUGAAAGUGAACGGAGGUGGGAACUUUUUGUGCACCAUCGACCGAUCCUGAUGUCCUCGGAUGGAUUUGAGUAAGAGCAUAGCUGUUGGGACCCGAAAGAUGGUGAACUAUGCCUGAAUAGGGUGAAGCCAGAGGAAACUCUGGUGGAGGCUCGCAGCGGUUCUGACGUGCAAAUCGAUCGUCAAAUUUGGGUAUAGGGGCGAAAGACUAA